CUUUCUCCAGCUGAACCCCCCCCCUCCCACAGUGAAGGGGGGUUGCAGAGCCAGCGGCUAGCUCGGGAGUACACACAGCAUGGUUUCAAUGGGGCUGCAUUGCCCUGGAACAAGAGGCUCAGGGUCCUAACACUUUGCAGAUCCUAGCAGGGAUGGGGUGGAGGUAAAGGAAUGGUCAUUCCCUGGGGGAACCUCACAUGUAAGAGCAGGGAAGACAUGGAAUAUCCCAGGAGAUUUCAUCCCCUAAUCUCCUUGGGUAUUGGAGGAGGUGGAUCUGGGUCUUGGUUUUCCUUCAGGUAAAUAGUCAGUACCCUGAGUACUUUGUUUCGCCUGCAACAUUUUCCUCUGCCUUCUAGGAACAUGUAGCCCAGUGCCACUAUUCCUCUGACCUCACACAGCUUGCACAGAACUUGGUCUACUUGUAUAUCUCCCAGCUUCUGUUAGAGGCGCUCGUGCUGGAUGUGUUCCUGGAGACCUCUGCAGAAUUUUUGAAGGGGUUUUCUGUGCAUGUAGAAAUACACUUGACUUGUAUCUGGCUCCUCUAUUUGAUAGGAUCAGAGGCAGCAGGCACUGAAGUCCAGCAAUGGGAGAUCAUCAAAGGGGAAAAAAUCCAAGCGUCAUUUAAUGGAGUCCACUUCCACUUCCACUCUGAAGCAUCUUCCUGAUGUUACUGGAUGAGAUCUUUGUGGAAGUUCUCGGAUCUCUCUGCUGAUGUCUUCAGAAGUGCUAUGAAGGAUUUUGUGGAUGACUACUUAACCAGGGCUGCUCAUCUUGAAAGCAUGGAUGGAAUAGUAACCAAGGUGGUUCAGAUGGUCUUGCCUAGCAUUCUCCAAGAGGCAUCACCAAAAGAUGGAAUAUGAGGCUAUUUUCCAAGAGGUCAUUUCACAGGUCGUUGAGGACACUAAAGCCUUAGCUCACUUGGUCCUCGGUGACUACAAUGCCAAGAUGAUAAAGCUGCAGCAAAGCCAGAUUACAGCAAUUGCUAGUAAACAACUUAUUGACACCUUUCUUCUGGAGCACUUGAUCAGCAUGACUAGUACAUAUGAUCCUGGAUUUGGAGGGAAGGAGCACGCCAGUGUUCUAGCGAGCAAGUUGGAUGUUUGAUAUUCUCAUCAGGCAGUUCUUUAGCAUUCAGGAGCAGCAGAAGACUACCUCUGAUGGAAAUCUCCCAGCGGAACAUUUUCAAAAAGCUUUUAUCGAGGUGGUAAGUAACCUCGUAUUCUUAGAGGUUGAUUUUUGCUGUCUUGUAGCUCCCCCUGUACAGCAAGGUGGGGGGGGGGGGAGAAAAAUCCACCAUGUACCACCAGGGCUAAUUAAGGAUGAAGGGUUGAUUGUAACACAAGGGAUUAUACAGAGCCGUACUCUGAUUUUGUUUUCUGCUGAACC